CAUAAAACUCAUAUACUCAAAACUCAUACUCAAAACUCGUAUACUCAAAACUCAUAUACUCAAAACUCAUAUACUCAAAACUCAAUACUCAAAACUCAUACUCAAAACUCAUAUACUCAAAACUCAUACUCAAAACUCAUAUACUCAAAACUCAUAUACUCAAAACUCAUAUACUCAAAACUCAUAAAACUCAUAUACUCAAAACUCAUACUCAAAACUCGUAUACUCAAAACUCAUAUACUCAAAACUCGUAUACUCAAAACUCGUAUACUCGUAUACUCGAAACUCGUAUACUCAAAACUCGUAUACUCAAAACUCGUAUACUCAAAACUCGUAUACUCAAAACUCGUAUACUCAAA